ACCUGGGUGGCUCCGUCGGUUGAGCGUCUGACUUCAGCUCAGGUCAUAAUCUCAAGUUUCGUGGGUUCGAGCCCCGCAUCAGGCU
rfam:Felis catus isolate Cinnamon breed Abyssinian chromosome D4, whole genome shotgun sequence.